UACGAAGGGGGCUAGCGUUGUUCGGAUUUACUGGGCGUAAAGCGCACGUAGGCGGAUUGGUCAGUUAGGGGUGAAAUCCUGGAGCUCAACUCCAGAACUGCCUUUAAUACUGCCAGUCUCGAGUCCGGAAGAGGUAAGUGGAACUCCUAGUGUAGAGGUGGAAUUCGUAGAUAUUAGGAAGAACACCAGUGGCGAAGGCGGCUUACUGGCCGGUACUGACGCUGAGGUGCGAAAGCGUGAGGAGCAACAGG
rnacentral:rRNA from 1 species